UAGAGUUUGAUCCUGGCUCAGGAUGAACGCUGGCGGCGCGCCUAACACAUGCAAGUCGAACGGUUAAAGCACCUUCGGGUGUGUAUAAAGUGGCGAACGGCUGAGUAACACGUGGGCAACCUGCCCCUCGCACCGGGAUAGCCUCGGGAAACCGUGGUUAAUACCGGAUACUCCGCGACCCCCGCAUGGGGGACGCGGGAAAGCCCAGACGGCGAGGGAUGGGCCCGCGGCCUGUUAGCUUGUUGGCGGGGUAGUGGCCCACCAAGGCGAUUAUGGGUAGCCGGGUUGAGAGACCGACCGGCCAGAUUGGGACUGAGACACGGCCCAGACUCCUACGGGAGGCAGCAGUGGGGAAUCUUGCACAAUGGGCGAAAGCCUGAUGCAGCGACGCCGCGUGCGGGACGAAGGCCUUCGGGUUGUAAACCGCUUUCAGCAGGGACGAGGCCGCAAGGUGACGGUACCUGCAGAAGAAGCCCCGGCUAACUACGUGCCAGCAGCCGCGGUAAUACGUAGGGGGCAAGCGUUAUCCGGAUUCAUUGGGCGUAAAGCGCGCGUAGGCGGCCUGUUAGGUCGGGAGUUAAAUCCGGGGGCUCAACCCCCGCCCGCUCCCGAUACCGGCAGGCUUGAGUCUGGUAGGGGAAGGCGGAAUUCCAAGUGUAGCGGUGGAAUGCGCAGAUAUUUGGAAGAACACCGGUGGCGAAGGCGGCCUUCUGGGCCACGACUGACGCUGAGGCGCGAAAGCUAGGGGAGCGAACAGGAUUAGAUACCCUGGUAGUCCUAGCCGUAAACGAUGGACACUAGGUGUGGGGGGACGUGCCCUCCGUGCCGCAGCUAACGCAUUAAGUGUCCCGCCUGGGGAGUACGGCCGCAAGGCUAAACUCAAAGGAAUUGACGGGGGNC
rnacentral:rRNA from 1 species